GUGCUCGCUACGGCAGCACAUAUACUAAAAUUGGAUUGAUACAGAGAAGAUUAGCAUGGCCCCUGCGAAAG
ensembl:snRNA U6 U6 spliceosomal RNA